UACGUAGGGGGCAAGCGUUGUCCGGAAUUAUUGGGCGUAAAGAGCUCGUAGGCGGCUUGUUGCGUCGACCGUGAAAACCCGUGGCUUAACUGCGGGCUUGCGGUCGAUACGGGCGGGCUGGAGUUCGGUAGGGGAGACUGGAAUUCCUGGUGUAGCGGUGAAAUGCGCAGAUAUCAGGAGGAACACCGGUGGCGAAGGCGGGUCUCUGGACAGUUCCUGACGCUGAGGCACGAAGGCCAGGGGAGCAAACGGG
rnacentral:rRNA from 1 species